CUCUGGGUUAUCCUUUCCCACUAGCUCCAAGGCAGGACAGAUUCGAUUGGUUGUAGAAAUUUCAGCCACGCCUCCUUGGUGCUAGGAGGAUAACCCCUCCCAGUUCUUGCUGUCCGAGAGAAAUACUGGUACACACCAAAGACGGACUGGACAAUAAAUAAACAUGUGAAAAACAACCAGACUGGAGCAGCACACAGGGUUCUUGGGCUAGAGGCAAAGAGCGGAUCGGUAUACCCUGCGAACCCCGGAGGGAGGCCUGAGAAGGGACUCUCCACGGGAGGAGGCCAGGAGCGCCAAACUGGGUGGGUCGAGGUGUCCCUGGCAACAUCAACCAGAAGGAGCCUUCACGGUAAGUGAACACCAAUGCUCCGUUCUCGGUUGAACUGUUGCCAGGGACACCUCUGGGACAUACCACAGCUUGUCCAACGCAGAGGGCGGGUGCGCUCCGGCCUACUCCCGAGGGAGAACCUGCUGAAGCACCCUUCUUCCAAAGGACGCCUGAAUAUCGGCGUAGGAUUCGAUCUUGUAGUGCUUAGUAAACGUAGAGGGAUUGGCCCAAGUGGCGGCUCUGCAAAUGUCCUGGAUUGGGGCAUUAGUUGAAAAGGCGGCUGAGGUGGCGGCCGCCCUGGUAGAGUGCGCCGAGAUGCCUGAAGGCUGGGGUAAGCGAAGUGUCUCAUACGCCAGCGAGAUACACGCCCUUAUCCAUCGUGCGAUAGUAGGUGCUGAUACGGGCGAGCCCAUUGAUCUCGGGUGGAAGGAGACGAACAUUUGGUCCGUAUUUCUGAAUGAGGCGGUGCGGGCGAUAUAUUUCUUGAGGCAGCGCCGGACAUCCAGGUUAUGCCAGAGUUUUUCCUUCUCGUGGACCGGGCGCGGGCAAAAAGAAGGGAGGAAAACAUCUUGAGACUGAUGGAAAAUUGGGGCAAAAUGAAGACAGCACCUGCAGCACCGAGAAGAGCCUUGCUGAAGUGAUGGCCACCAAAAAGGCCAAUUUAAACUGUAAGAUCCUGAUCAGAAUAGCUGCCAAAGGCUCCAAGGAGUGAGCUUGCAAUGCCUUGAGGACAGUAUGUAGUUCCCAAGAGGGUAACGUAUGCACUGUUGGAGGUGACAUCAGCGAGGCACCUCAAAGAAACUACGCUGGUGAGGAUGUGACUGAGACAUUUUGUCUUUUCUACUGAGAGCAACUCCAUCAACGGCAAUGCCUGCCGUUGCAGGGUAUUCGGACAUAGUCCCUUCUUGAACCCUUCUUGUAAGAAGAGCAGGAGAUGAUAUAACUUAGCCGUGCCCUUCGGAACGGAGUUGCGAGACAUCCAGCGAAGGAGUGCUCCCAAUGUAUAUUGAUAAAUUCUCUCUGUCGAUGGACUUUACGACGCCAGCAUAGUGCUGAGAACUCCCUCCGAGUAGCCAUGUUGGCUCAGGACUCGGCACUCAGUUUCCAAACGAUGAGCCGAAACCAACAUGGAUCCGGGUGUAAAACUGGACCCUGAUGGAGCAGGUCCGGGGUCUGAGGCAACUCCCAAGGUGGCUCCACCGCCAGAUGGAGGAGCUCUGGAAACCAGGGUCUCCUGGGCCAGAAUGGUGCCACUAAGAGUACUCUUGCUCGAAGACACAUCCAUUGCAGGACUCUGGCCAACAGAGGUGUCAGAGGAUACGUAUAAAGGAAAGCGUCUGGCCAUAGACUGGAUAGGGCAUCCACUGCCAUCGCCUCCCUGCAUGGAAAUCUAGGCAUAAACGCUGGGGAUUGUGCAUUCUUCGGAGUCAUGAAGAGGUCUACCUCGGGCAUGCCCAUCUUCCCUGUUAUCUGGGUUAAAACUGAUGGAUUUAGAGCCCAUUCCCCCAGUUGGAUGUCAGCCCAGCUUAACCAGUCUGCAAACAGGUUCAGCUCUCCCUUGAUGUGGUGUGCCAUCAGGGAAGGAAGGUUGCUCUCUGCCCAAGACAGCAGAAGGACAGCCUCCUGGUGAGAUGACCUGGACCCCCAUUGCUUGUUUACAUAUGCCUUUGCCGUCGUAUUGUCGGUCUUUACAAAUACUUCAGUGCCUUGGAUGAUCUCCUGGAAUGCUAGUAGCGCUAGGCAAAUUGCAUGGAGUUCCCUCCAAUUUAUGUUGUGAGAACGCUCCUCCGUGUUCCAUAGCUGCUGCGCCAACUGGUUGAGGCAGUGGGCUCCCCAGCCCCUGUCAACUUGGGUCUGUUGUUCUGAUGAACAUCUGUGGGUCCAAGAAGGUCUUUUCCCAAUUCAGGUUGUUGGAGUUGAUCCACCAGCGGAGAGAGUGACGCAGGUCUGGUGGCAACUUUAUAAGCAGUCUACACUUCCUUACGAUUGCCUUCUGGUGGGGUAGGAGAAACCACUGGAGGUCGUGCAGAUGAAUUCAAGCCCACGGAACUGAGUCUGGUGCGGCCACCAUCAAGCUCAGCAGUCUUGACAAGGAAGCCAGAGGAACUCUUGGAUUCACUAGGACCAGGUGAACCUCUGUCUGGAUAGUCUGUAACCUGUCUGGUGGAAGCAAGAGGCGGUCCACUAAGGUAACUAUGAUUACCCACAAAUGGUGCAGCCUGUGGCAUGGCGUCAAUUGACUCUUUUCUCCAUUUAUGAUGAAACCAUGGUUCGAGUGUUGCGAUAGUUAAGAACCAAGUCCUGUUCUGCCUCUGGGAGAGAUCUCGCCUGCAGCAACAAUUGACUAUCCCUUUCUGACAGAGUUGCGCCACCAGUGGUGCCAACAACUUUGUGGAGACAUGAGGGGCUGCUGUAUUGAAAAUGCCUUCCAGCAUAUCUAAACCGAAGGUACUGCCUGCUUUCCGGGUGUAUAGGAAGAUGCAGGCAGGCCUCCCUUAUAUCUAUGGACGCGAGCACAUCCAGAUGAAAGAGUGCCUCUGAAACUGCUCUUAGAGUUUCCAUCUGGAAAUGAGUUCUGUGGACCCAUCUGUUCAAAAAAAUUUAAGUCUAAAACAGCUCUCCUUGAACCGUCCCUUUUUGGGACGGUAAAUAGGAUAGAGGUGUUUUGUUUUGCUGUUUUGGUUUGUUUGUUUUGUUUUAACUCCCUCUCCCUCCUGUGCCAGAGGCACUGGCUCCACUGCCCUGAUGUCCAGGAGGAGUUGGAUUGCCUAGACUAUCGGCAAAUGCUUUGAGAAUGCUUUUGACCUUAGAGUGGGGAUAAAGCAGCAGGGGGAGAGGAGUGAAACUCUAUCCUGUAGCUGUGAUGGAUCAGCUGCAGAACCCAGUUGUCUGAGGUUAAUCUUCCCAGGCUGGGGCGAGGUGAGACAAAUGCCCUCCAAACCUGAAA